rnacentral:rRNA from 1 species
AUAAACCGGAGGAAGUGGGGAUGACGUCAAGUCAGCAUGGCCUUUAUAUCCUGGGCUACACACACGCUACAAUGGGAAGGGACAAUAGGUUGCGAAGCCGCGAGGCGGAGCCAAUCCAGCAAAACUUCCCUCAGUUCAGAUUGCAGGCUGCAACCCGCCUGCAUGAAGCUGGAGUUGCUAGUAAACGCAGGGCAGCCAUACUGCGUUGAAUACGUUCCCGGGGCUU